GGGAGGCUGGGGAGAAACCACGGAGUCUCUUGCUGCCACGCCCCCGGCUGAACCAGGCCCAAGUAUCCUCCACUACCAGCACCACCAUCACCAGCAGCAGCAGCAGUUUGAGAAUGGGGUCAUAGUGUGGAGAAGACAAUGACACAGGCCAAGGAGAGACAGCCUCUGCUAGGCCGUGCUCCAGGAUAGUGAAGUAGAAUUAAGAGACUUCAGGCAACCUCUCAUGGUUUAAUCAACCGCUUUCAUGAUGCACCCUCCUUACUACAUCCCCAACAGAUUAUCUAAUACCCUGGACUUGAUCACUCCCUUGGACAGGUAAGUCACCACCACGGCCCAUGCACAGCUAACUAGCGGGCCUUUUAAUUUACUUCAAGGAAGUAGUGUGUUCAUCCUAAGAUCCCAUAGGAAGUUUGCUUAAAUAUAUUUGCAACAGAAUGCAGGAAGUUAUCAAAUAAAAAGAAGACUGAGAGACUAGGGGUGUAGCUUCACAGCAGAGCACUUGCCUAACAACAUAUGAGCUCCCCCGAGUUCAAUACACAGCAACACACACACACAACAUAUGACUGGAGAACACUUAAUGAUGAAUGUUCCUUAUUGUACAUAUCACAUACAUGGUCUUUAUCACUCGCCCCAAUUCAAAGUGGAUGGCUCCACGUAUUAGGUCAGGAACUAAAAUAAUAUUUUACGGCCAGAAAAUUCAGAUGCUGCCAGGUGUAGUGAAUAUUUAUAAUUAAAUAUUGUUCACUUGUGUCUGUGUGGGAGGGGGAGUGUUGAGGAUCAAACUCAUGGCCUUAAGUAGAUAGCAGCUCUACCAGUGAGCUACAUACAACCUUGGCCCCAGGGCAUGUCACUGAGGAAACAGAACAGGGUGGAAAAGAGUGGAUAUCAAACAAUGCAUGCUUUACCAGGCACGGUGGCGCGUGCCUUUGAUCCCAGAGGAUGGGAGGCAGAGGCAGGCAGAUUUCUGAGACCAGGCUGGUCUCCAGAGCGAGUUCCAGGACAGCCAGGGCUACACCGGGAAAGUCUGUCUCAAAAGACAAAGGCAAAAAAAAAAAAAAAAAAAAAAAAGCCAUGCUUGAAGUGUAAAGUAUAAUCAUCUUCACAGAGAAACCAGAAUGCUCAGGAAGGUGAUCAUCAAGCCUGCUCUCCUAUGCAUGUACUUUCCUGCAUUUUCUUUAAUUUUCUACCACAAUUAUGCUUCUGUAAUUGUUAUGGUCUGCAUACGUCUCCUCAAUACUCAUGCAUUAAAAUCCUCGCCCAUACUGUGAUAAUAUUAGGAAACAGGGUGACUAACUCAUGAGUUGGAGCCCUCAUGAAUGAAUCAAGUGUAAGAGAGACAAGAAAGCAAAAUGAAGCAAAACCCCUCUGUGGGGCUGGAGAGCUUGCUGAGUGGUUAACACCACUACUGCUAAAUAAAAGGUUUGAGCCAGGGAUGGUAACUGUUCAUGUCUAUAAUCCUAGCACUUGGGAAAACUGAAACAGACAACUGAAAGUUUGAGGUCCACCUGGACUACAUAGCGAACAUCAGGCCAGCCUCAGGCAAGCCCCUGCCACAAAAAGACAAAAGGCUACCUUGUAAGGUCAUAUGGAAACCACUGCCCUUAAUUUUGUUGACAACUUGGCCUCGUCUUUGGAGCCCCCAGAAUCAAUUUCUGUUUAUAAUCCGCCAGCAUAGCACUGUUACAGCAUCCCCAAAGCACUAAAACAGUAGCUAAGAGAAAAUAAAAUAGUUCACGUUACUUAAAGGGAGACAGUUGCUGCCACUGAACUGGCCAAAGAGUCUUCCCCAGACGCAGAGGCUCCAAUCUCAACUGCUCCAACUGGAACACAGAUUCGGAGCCCUUGGUGGCAUCCUAAGACACACUUGGUCUUCCUCUACUAUGACGCCAGAACCCAUCCACCCACAAACCCCACUUCCCGACUUUCCCAGCCAGCUGACAUGGAUGGUCCCCCCAUGGAGUGCUGAUCUCUGCCCAGGAGGUCCCCCACUCCCUCCUUGGCAUCCUUGCCUUAGGGCGGGGGUGGGGGUGCAGAAAUUCAGGAAGACCUUGAGGUCUCUCAAAGUGGUCAAAGGAACACAAUAAGGAUCACUCACCCACACUGGCCUCCCCCAUGGUAUACGUCUUCCCAGAGCCUGUCUGACCAUAGGCAAAGACGGUGGCAUUGAAGCCCUCAAAGAAAGCCUCGAGGAGGGGCUGCACACAGGCCUGGUACACAGCCUCCUGCCCAGUGUCCUCUCCGAGUACCACAUGGAAUCCAAAGUGGCGGUCUCGCCCCAGGGUGAUUCGACCAUGCUCAGGCCCCACCUGCAGGCAACUCUGAUGACCGUGCAGCAGCUCCUUGGGCAGCAAGGGACGAACUCGAAGGGCCACCCUCACUGGGGCCUCCUCAGCCCCAGACAGCCUCUGGGCCUCCAGCCCCAUCUUGAAGGAGAGCAGCUUCGGGAUCUGCAGAGAAAAGGAGAGGCCCUUGCCAUCGGUCUGUACUACAGGGGCCAGACCACAUAGCGCUAGACUUUGGGGAGACUGAGGACUGAGGGAGGGGUAGUCAAAGUUCAGAGCCAUCUGCCCAACUAGUUACCCAACUGACACAAACCACAAAACCAUAAAACCACAGUAACUUCUCUUGACUUCCUCUCCUGGCCAAAAAAAAAAAAAGCCCCAGCACUUGAUAUCCCAGGUUUUGGGUUCCAGCUGCCUCCCCCUCCCCUCACCCCAGUCUUCUCACAGUCUCUACCAUUGCUCAUCCCUGAAACUGCUUGACACCUGCCCGCCCAUCUUCUUCAAAGAAGCCAAAAGAUCCUUCAAGACCAAGUUCCUAUCGCCAGUUCUAGCUCCUAAAUAUCUCUCAAGAUUAUCAGCUGCAUUCUUCAUCCUGUUGCCAAAACCAGUCUUGCUGCCGACAUCCUGAAGGGAUAACUUCUGCCGGCCACCUUCCCAGGUCUCAGUCUCCCUGCCCUCUCUAACCCUGCAGUCUGGGACACCGUUCAAAAACGAAGUUGUGAUAUUCUCCUUUUUACACACCCCAACAACACAACAAUAAAGGAAGCUUAGAACAGGCACCCUACCUUCCCCAUCUCCUGAACACCAUGCCUUUCCUCUCCUCUCUGGUCAUCGACCUCUGUGUUACCAUCUUCAUCCACCCACGCUUGGGCUGGGCCCACCUUCCCCACAGAGCCGGGGUAGCUGCUUUGCUCUGUCCCAUCACCACUACAGGCAACCCUUUGUGCUGCCCACAUCAGACACUGACCACACGGAUGCCACAGCCAGAUUUUCUCUCCCGAUGGAAAGCAAGAACCCUCUUUGUCUACUUCGAACUCUAUCGUCAGCACUCAGCACAGGGUAGACUCUGGAGCUGUGUGUGGUCCCGGCUUCUCCUUCCCCACAAUCAACGACCCGAGCCUCAAAGGCGCCCUGACAACUCCGCCCGCGCGAUCGGCCGCCGGGAACAAGGCCUCCCGGAAAGUUUGCAAAAGUGAUUACAAACGUGGACCCUCGCAGGCUGCUCCUCCUGGCCCGGCCCGCCCAGUGAGGGAGCUCCCGGUAAGCUGAGGGGCACGGAUGGGGGGCUGGUCAGACGCCUCCCAGGUGAGCCCCGUCUCGUCCUCCAUCCGCAUUUGACCCACACCCACCUGCCAGGGUGCGAGCGCAGUCCCGGGAAGCGCAGCCUAGCUCGGCGCCCCGACGCGGCGCGCUCCGAUGCCGUCAUCGGGACCCCCGCCCCCCAAACAUCCCUCCCUUCACCGGCAACUCCGCCUGCCCCGGCGUUCGGGGGCGGAGGCCCAGGCAGGGCGCCUCCAAGUCCGUCCGCAGACGGGGCGGGGCGGGCCCUCCUGUGGGGGAGGGGCCGGCCUCUGCCCCGGGGCCGGGCCUGGAGAAGCAGCCAGUGGCGUCUCUUCUGGUCUUAGAAGUCUGCGAAAUUGACACCAGACGUCUGUCCUCUCCUAGACCCGCUUCUUUCUUUCUGCUCCCAGGGUUAAGACAUAAUCCUCAUUAAAAAUAACACGUAACAACAAAACCA